AGAUGACCCGAUCUCGGGAGCGGUUGGCCCUGCUCAUUUCGCCCGGUCGGGGCAGGGCGCGGCUGCGUGCGGUGGACGCACCGUCGGCAGCAGGAGGCUGUUCCUGCCGCCCAUGCCGACGUUCACGUGGUUGAGAAGAAGCGUCGACUCCGCUACCUCAUACUCGGGAUCUGCGCCGGAGACACGACAUCAUGGGUCAAUCCAGCGCACAUAGUCACCGCAGAUAAAUUUGAUUUUUUUUAUCGCAUGCACUGUCAGAAUAUGAUAGAAGCAACUCAAACUGUGUCACUUGUGUCGUAGAUGCCAACGACAGAAAAUUGCACCACGUAACCACACCAAAACUCCUCACCGACAGUUACGAGUACAGCUGACUGAAAGCGGACACCAAUGUCGCGCUGCAGCGUCCCCGGCAAUCACUGCUUGUUUAACUCACCACCGUGCCUUGAGUGUUUUGUUUGAGCCCACCAGUUGAGAUCCGGUGUGUAUUUGUCGGCCGUGUUUGUGUCUGUGUACGCACUCACCAAACUUGUUUGGCACCACGUCCGGAUUGGUAUCGUCGGCAGCGAUGUGUUUGACGGAGUCGGGCGACGUCGCCGGCGCCACCCGGUACUCGGCGUCGCCGGUCGCGUCGGUACCAUCCUUGAUCAUCAGCGAGGAGUGCACCAGGUCGGCCGGGUUCGGCGGCUUGGCUGCGCGGCGACUGCGGAGGAGGGAGAGAUGGCCACGACGCCGAUGGCGAUGAUGAUCAGCGAGGCGACCACUCCGAUGAGGACUCCCAGGAUCGGAGUCACGGAUACGCUGUCCUCCGGCGGCAUCUCAACUGGAGAGAGGAGGGGAGGUCAACACUCCCAGGUCAG